UACGUAGGGUGCAAGCGUUGUCCGGAAUUAUUGGGCGUAAAGAGCUCGUAGGCGGUCUGUCGCGUCGGCUGUGAAAUCCCGAGGCUCAACCUCGGGUCUGCAGUCGAUACGGGCAAACUAGAGUAUUGCAGGGGAGACUGGAAUUCCUGGUGUAGCGGUGAAAUGCGCAGAUAUCAGGAGGAACACCGGUGGCGAAGGCGGUUCUCUGGGCAUGAUCUGACGCUGAGGAGCGAAAGUGUGGGGAGCGAACAGG
rnacentral:rRNA from 1 species